rnacentral:rRNA from 1 species
ACAUGACCCCAUGCCGAACUCAGAAGUGAAACGCCGUAGCGCCGAUGGUAGUGUGGGGUCUCCCCAUGCGAGAGUAGGGAACUGCCAGGC